CCCGCUGAACUUAAGCAUAUCAAUAAGCGGAGGAAAAGAAACUAACAAGGAUUCCCCUAGUAACUGCGAGUGAAGCGGGAAAAGCUCAAAUUUAAAAUCUGGGGGUCCCUGUGGCCCUCCGAGUUGUAAUCUAGAGAAGUGCUAUCCGCGCUGGACCGUGUACAAGUCUCCUGGAACGGAGCGUCAUAGAGGGUGAGAAUCCCGUCUUUGACACGGACUACCAGGGCUUAUGUGAUGUGCUCUCAAAGAGUCGAGUUGUUUGGGAAUGCAGCUCUAAAUGGGUGGUAAAUUCCAUCUAAAGCUAAAUAUUGGCGAGAGACCGAUAGCGAACAAGUACCGUGAGGGAAAGAUGAAAAGAACUUUGGAAAGAGAGUUAAACAGUACGUGAAAUUGCUGAAAGGGAAACGCUUGAUGUCAGUCGCGUCGUCCGGGGAUCAGCCUUGCUCUUUUGCUCGGUGUAUUUCCUGGUCGACGGGUCAGCAUCGGUUUCGACCGUCGGAAAAUGGCUCGAGGAAUGUGGCACCCUUCGGGGUGUGUUAUAGACUCGGGUCGAAUACGGCGAUUGGGACCGAGGAACUCAGCACGACCUUAGGGUUCGGGGCUUCGGCCCACGUCAACGUGCUUAGGAUGCUGGCAUAAUGGCCUUAAGCGACCCGUCUUGAAACACGG
rnacentral:rRNA from 1 species